UUAAAUGAAGUUAAGAGUCAUAAGCGUAUUUAUUUUAUUUUAUUGUUUUAAUAAAAUUACAACAAUAUACGUUUAUGUAGUAAUACUUCAGAAAAUGAUGAAGGUUUUUUCUUUAUUAUAUUAUUCACUUUAUAUAUAAUUAAAAUACAAUCACACACUUAAUAUAGAAAUAAAUGUUUUAUUUAUUUUUUUAUAUAUAAGUGAUCAUUGUAUAUGUAUAUAAAUAAUAAUAUAUUAUUUUAAUUCCUAUUUUUUUAUUUUUUUUUCCACCCACAAGAAAAAAAUAAUAAAGAUAAACCUUAUAAUU
rnacentral:sRNA from 1 species